GUGCUUGCUUCAACAGCACAUAUACUAAAAUUGCAACGACACAGAGAAGAUUAGCAUGGCCUUUGUGCAAGGAUGACACUCAAAUUUGUGAAUUAUUCCAAAAGAAA